rnacentral:rRNA from 1 species
AUGCAAGUCGAGCGGGAAGCUCACAAAUGACUCUUCGGAUGAAUGCGUGAGUGGACAGCGGCGGACGGGUGAGUAACGCGUGGGCAACCUGCCCCUUACUGAAGGAUAGCCGAGGGAAACUUCGAGUAAUACUUCAUAAUGCAUUUUCUUCACAUGGAGGGAAUGCCAAAGAUUUAUCGGUAAGGGAUGGGCCCGCGUCCGAUUAGCUGGUUGGUGAGGUAGCGGCUCACCAAGGCGACGAUCGGUAGCCGGCCUGAGAGGGCGGACGGCCACAUUGGAACUGAGACACGGUCCAGACUCNUACGGGAGGCAGCAGUGGGGGAUAUUGCACAAUGGAGGGAACUCUGAUGCAGCGACGCCGCGUGAAGGAAGAAGGCCUUCGGGUCGUAAACUUCUGUCCUUGGGGAAGAAAGAAAUGACGGUACCCUUGGAGGAAGCCCCGGCUAACUACGUGCCAGCAGCCGCGGUAACACGUAGGGGGCGAGCGUUAUCCGGAAUUACUGGGCGUAAAGAGUGCGUAGGUGGCUUUUUAAGCGCGGGGUCUAAGGCUAUGGCCUAACCAUAGUCCGCCCUGCGAACUGGAGAGCUUGAGUACAGGAGGGAAAGCGGAAUUCCUAGUGUAGCGGUGAAAUGCGUAGAUAUUAGGAGGAACACCAGUGGCGAAGGCGGCUUUCUGGACUGAAACUGACACUGAGGCACGAAAGCGUGGGUAGCAAACAGGAUUAGAUACCCUGGUAGUCCACGCCGUAAACGAUGAGCACCAGGUGUCGGACUCGAGAGAGUUCGGUGCCGAAGCUAACGCAUUAAGUGCUCCGCCUGGGGAGUACGCACGCAAGUGUAAAACUCAAAGGAAUUGACGGGGACCCGCACAAGCAGCGGAGCAUGUGGUUUAAUUCGAAGCAACGCGAAGAACCUUACCAGAGCUUGACAUCCUCCUGAAAGGCCGGGUAAUGCCGGUCCUCUCUUCGGAGCAGGAGUGACAGGUGGUGCAUGGUUGUCGUCAGCUCGUGUCGUGAGAUGUUGGGUUAAGUCCCGCAACGAGCGCAACCCUUGCUGUCAGUUGCCAUCAUUGAGUUGGGCACUCUGACGGGACUGCCGGGGAUAACCCGGAGGAAGGCGGGGAUGACGUCAAAUCAUCAUGCCCCUUAUGUUCUGGGCGACACACGUGCUACAAUGGCCAGCACAAAGGGAUGCGAAGGAGCGAUCCGGAGCGAACCCCAAAAGCUGGUCCCAGUUCGGACUGCAGGCUGAAACCCGCCUGCACGAAGUUGGAGUUGCUAGUAAUCGCAGGUCAGCAUACUGCGGUGAAUACGUUCCCGGGCCUUGUACACACCGCCCGUCACACCACGGAAGUCAUUCACACCCGAAGCCGGUGGAGGAACCUUAGGGACCUAGCCGUCUAAGGUGGGGGCGAUGACUGGGGUGAAGUCG